rnacentral:rRNA from 1 species
CCCUUAGAUGUUCUGGGCCGCACGCGCGCUACACUGACGAAUGCACCGAGCUUAUAACCUUGGCCGAAAGGUCUGGGUAAUCUCCAAAUUUCGUCGUGAUGGGGAUAGAUUAUUGCAAUUAUUAAUCUUCAACGAGGAAUGCCUAGUAAGCGCAAGUCAUCAGCUUGCGUUGAUUACGUCCCUGCCCUUUGUACACACCGCCCGUCGCUCCUACCGAUUGAAUGGUCCGGUGAAGCGUUCGGACCGUGGCCUUUGGACGGUUCGCCGUCUGUUGGCUGCGGGAAGUUCGUUAAACCUUAUCAUUUAGAGGAAGGAGAAGUCGUAACA